AUAGCUCCAAUAAUGGCGAGCUCCUGCUGUUGUAGCUAGCAUGCACAGCCUACAGAUAUAAGAGACUCUAACUUAAAACUUGUUUCAGACACGAGCAAAGGUGCAGGUCAUUGAAAGUGCAGUGGUAGUAAUGCGUCUUAUUGCAUCAGUAGUAGUAAUGCUGCUGCCUUAGCUGUAUGCAGUACUGCAUUCCUUUUUACCUGUGCAAUUUAAAACAAGGUGGAAGUGAACUAUUCAGUUGUGGAUUUGCUGCUGGCAAUCUCACAGAUGCUGGUAAAUGACGUCUGUAAUUGUGCUUCGCUGCAGGUAAGGCUGCUGUUUCUCUCAGAGCCAUCUUCUGCCCUGUAGUGCUCCAGGAAUGAGGCACUUGGUUUCAAUGCAUGUGACCACUCUGAGAAUUUCUCAUAAAGGAGGUCUGUUAAUUUUGUUUUAGGAAGUCUCCUGUCACCAGUUAUGAGUUUCUCUGACAGCUUUUAUAGAAAAAAAAAAAAACAAGCCAAAGCAAAAAAAAAUCCACCUAACAGCCUACAACCAACAGCUACUUUCGUGAUUGUACUUUCUUUCAUGUCUCACCAUUAAGUUUUUUAGAUAGCAGGAUCAAAUCCAAAACCAGAGUGAUCAGGCACACACUGAAUCAUCUGGCACUAAUUUCCUUAGCCUGGGGUAUGACAGAAUAUUAUUUUUGCCCUUAACUUCAAAAAUGGAGAAGUCCCAGCCCUAGUCCUGCUGUGUAGGAGAUUAGCAAACCAUCAUCAAAGUAAAACUUAAGCUAUUCAUGCACCCAGAACAAUCUUUCUAGAGUUUCAUUUGUAUGUCUGUUGAUGGUGUGUUGAAAGUCCCUUAGGCUCAACAACGUGACCGUUGUGUUAAAAUUAAUGUGAGUUAAAUCUCAAGGGAGUCUUUGAAGUGGUCAGUAAGUGCUUUUAGUGUGUUUCAAAGGCAUGUUGGACGCUACGCCCAAGCUGAGUUUUUUGAACAAUGCAGGUAUGAAAAAGGUUGAUGUGAAGAAUAUAAUUUUGUCAAGGUUUCUGUUGUACCCAAAUCUUGCUUUGGUUUUCAGUUUGUGUGCUUACACUGACCAGUACAGAUCAUGUUCUUGUUUGGGGAAGGGAAGGACUGAAAAAAACACCUGUCUGCAUAGCAGUCAUAUCUGACCACAAAUCUGUCUUGCAAAGAGCUGAAACGUGCUUAAUUCGUAAGGACAAGUAGCUUUUAGGCACUGCAGAGACUGAGCUUCUGAUGCAGGUAGCGAUACUUGCUCUCUGUAGUUGUACCAAAAUGAAGCUUCCCAAAGAUGUGGGCAUUCAGUGCUGUUCUCCUGUAACAUCCUGUGUAUGAAUGUGUGAAUGAAACCACAGAAAACAGCUGGCCCUUCUGUGAUAUUUCCACACCAGGCUGCCCAGCUUACUAGAGCUAGGUAAUGUGCAGGUUCUUUCCAAGUGCAGUACUUUCUGUUUGUGCUUAAAAACAAAGUCAGGGUCUUCAUGUCCCUGAAAUAGGGCCUUACAGGUGCUACCCUAACAGAUUAUAUACUGUUUGUCUUUAGAUAAGGUGACCACCCUCUGUGUUUCCUGAUCACUGCUGUAACCUAACAACCAUGAAUUCCUAAAGGCUUGUAUGCUCUAAGCUUUUGUCUUUAGAGGUGUAAUUCCAGUUCCUGGUUUGUAAAGGUCAGGCCUUGAUUUAAUGGCCUGACAGAUAUGUGUCUUGGGGCUUUUACUCAUUUCCCUUGCACUCUGAGGAUGUCCUUGUAUCCUUGUCUUUGGGAUGAGGGUGUCAUUGGUGCUCACCCAUUCUGCUAUGGUCACUGAAUGGGGUGCUGCUGCUCCUAAAACAGUGUUGCUGCAGUGCUGCUUAUGUGGCUUUCAAGUAUCAGAUUUCUACUCUGCAUGGGGACAGGAAACAGCUGCUGCCAAGUAGUUCUGCCUCUUCACGACUUGGGCCCUUACAGCUGUGAAAAACUGAUUUGGUCAUACUAUCAUUUAUUUGAGCAGGUCUUAAUCUAAACAGCAGAGGGCAGUUUUGCACAUCUGUUUUGUGCAAGCUCAUCCUGCAAAAUCCUGAUUUUCAGAAUCUUCACGUCUGGAAGGGUGUUGCAAUGCAGCAUUUUGUCCAAACAGAUUUGAUACAGUGUAUGAUAUGUGACCAGUGGGGGCAGCAGUGGCAUCUGUUUCUACUGACACCCAGUUUUGGCGUUUUAAAUCCUCACAUGUUUGUUGCAGUUAUAUAAUUACAGCCAUUUCCCUUCCCUUCCAUCCCUCAGCCCAAACCAGGUAUAUAGGGAAGCCACCUUCAUUGUGCCACUUACACCAUGCCACAAAAAUGCAACUGCAUGUCAUUCCCUGACACAUCAGAGAAGGAUUCCCCCUGCCCAGAUGUGAUUUUUCUGGAUCAGCUGAGUGAAAUGAGAGCUGUCAACUGCUGUAGGGGCAGAAGAGAAAUAUACGGCUUUAGCCUGGAGUUGGGGUUAACCACCCCCUUUUCCUCCCACCUCUCACUCCCCCUUUCCCCCCUUCAAAAAAGCAAAAUUUUGGCAUUAGGGUGCAGUUUUGUUGCAAUCCUGUAGCUGAUGUGCAGGAGCUGGUAGGCUCUCCGAUGCCUAGGAGGCAGCUAUUUGUGGCAGAAUGGCACUCUAGCUUAAGACCAAAUCAUAACCACUCCUGUGCUUCUGAAGUGCUGUUUCUGUGCUUCGUGGUCGUGUUUGCAGGGGAAGGUAUAUGUUGGUACUGUAAGUGUAAAUGGAAGUGUUCACCCCUGUAUUAUCCAUCAGCAAGCAUUUUUCUAGACAUUUCACUGGUUAUUAUGAAAUAUUUCAGAGUCUGCCUAAAGCAUAGCAAGUACCUAGAGAAAGUGAGCUGUUCAAUAAAAGAAACCAUCUCUGCAAACCAGACUUUUCUCUCCUUAGGUCAAUCUGGAUGUGUUACACCCUCUAAGGUAGCCUGAAAGACAUAGAAAUUCGCUGUAACAAAUUCUUGCCCGCUUUGGCAUGUAUGUAAAAGAGCAUUUCCUGAAGCUCUGAAACAACCUGAUUAGCAUCUUUUGUUGUAUUUAAAAUGUUUAAUUAGAAGUAAUGUACUUUCCGCUGUGAUGAUUAAAAUGACAAUGAUUAUUGCAUGAAUUUGUUAAUUAUAAUGCAAUGACUAAUUAAAUGGAGAAAUGGAGAAAAGGGAUUCCUGAGCAAGCAUGUUCUUUGAGAAAGUCUCUGCUGGUGUUUUUAACUGAUAGUGCAUGUGUAAUCAGUUCAUACCAGUAUCUCAUUAUUGAUGGGAAUGGUGUUUGGUUCUGUUGGAAAUUUACUGUCAUGGCACGUUGACCUGGUGUUAUGCGAUUGCUUGGUCCUGUAAGUGAGGAAUACCAACUUGUAGAAUGAAGGAAAGGUAAGCCUUUGUAUAUACAAUGAAGAGAAACUGCAACUGUUCCCAGGUUGUAGCCUCCGUGUUUAUUGAGUUCUUCCAGCUUGGGUGUUUGCUAUAAUGGCACUCAGCUGAAUUUGCAUAAACAUGAGGGGUUGCUGUUUGCUUUUCAUUUGCUUUUAUCUCCAUCUAAAGUUCUGAGCAUUAACAUCAGGCCCCUUGGCUUAUGUUAGAAGUUGUCUGACAAAGCUACGAGCCCUUUUUUACUUCUCUGUUGGGAUGUCAUCUACCGGCCGUUGGCACUGGCAGAAUUCUUAGCAUGAAAAUGUUAUUAUUACUUCUGUGUCAGCAGAGAUGUAUGUGACACUGUGAAGAAUCUGUCAAGAGGGAGUCUGUGCCUCUGCAAGCUUUCAGUCAGCGGUCCUGAUCCUGUAACUUACUCUGCACGGUCCCUUCCUUAGGGAAACCUAAGCUACCAAGAUCAGGACAUGGGGACAGUGAAACAGGAAGGAAGAAGAUAUAACCACGAAAAUGAGAGCUGGCUAAAGAACGCCUCCGAUUGAAAGGAUCCACUGAAGCUCAUUAAAACGAUCUUAAUGACUUCCAAUUCAGCUGUGUCUGUGAUACCAGAACACAAGGUAAUUAUGGAAGUGCUAAAUAGUGUUAUUACUUGAUAUUACAAAGAGGGUGGGGGUAAGGCCUGGCGAGUCCUUCCCCUACCUGGCCCAGACAAGAAUGAGAGUUGCCUCUAGCCUUGAGGCCUGGGCAGGCAGCAUGGGACCAGGCCUGGCUUGGGCUGAUGUUGGAACAUGGCUCCUUCAUGCAGCAUGAGCUCUGGGGCAUGGGUAGUGAACUGGGAGACAACAGAAAAGUCCACACACUGUCAUUUCAGCUUCCGUCUUGUCUGCAGAGGAAGCAAAUGUGCUCUCUUCCUGCUCUGGAUUUGCUUCUCUUUCCCUCAGCUUUUUCAGUCUCUCCUGCAGCCCUGUUGGUCUGGCUGAUGCAGAUGGCAAGCAGCUCUGCUCACUGCACGCCUGCCUGCACUGGGAGAAACCUGUGCAGCGAUGAUUCACUCUCAAAUGAUUGCUUGACCCAGAGGAGGAGUUGAUGAUACAUGGAGGCUGGGACGCACCAGCCAUGAUUAUAAGAUGAUUCACUGCCUGGGCUCUGCCGUUCAAAACAUUCUCAGUAUUGCAAGGCAGGGCCGCUCAUGGAGGCUGCAAUAAGGAAGUGAUAUUUGCACCCAGAGCUGCCACGUUCUCACUUUCUGCUGCUGCCUCUGGUGUGAUGUUUACCUCUCUGGCCAGGCUGAUGCCACAAAGGUCUGCUGGCAGGGGCAGCUGCCUGGCGCUGCCAUGUGGCCGCACCUCGUGCCUCUUGCUUACAAUGACCAUCCUCACCCUAAGAAGGUCUGGCCCAAAGUGUAGUAUACCCAGGCAUCUGGUGUCCCUGCAAGGCCAUCCCCUGCUGUGUGGAAGUGUGUCAUGGAUCAAUAGCACUAGAGUGAGGGGCUGGUGGGAAGUCAAACUCCUUCCACUCUGCAUAUUCUGGCACAAUAUUCUUCAAUAUCCCACCUCUUUGUCCUUCACUCUUCCUCCCCCUCCAGAUUUUCUCCUGCCUGAUACCUGCACUCAGAUAAGCGGGGAAGUCCUGCUUGCCUGGAAACAGUGUCUUACCCUCUGACCCAGGAGCUGGUACUGUUUGUGGAAGUAUGCUGCAGGCACUGAUAAGAUUUGGGACUUGGAAAGUUUACUUAUACUGACAGGGGCUUGGAAAUGUGUUGGGGCUAACAGCACAUGUGGUUGGUAUUAUUCUUUCCCUCAAGCUAAGUUGGGCUACGCAUUAGUCAGCAAGCUGGGCAUUGCUGGGAGUUCUUAAACAUCUGGUUUGCCAGUGACAAAGUUGCAAACCUGUAGCACUACACUCUUGACAUUUUCUGCAGUGUCGUGACCAGGCUGCAGCGCUGAGGAAUUGUGCUCCAUCUGCUGCUUUCUGCAGCAGUUCUGCCUGGACUUUGUUCAGUUUCAAGUCUUCAGCUGUCACGCUGUGUUGCCAGCUAUUCUACAUGCCUAAUGAACUAGGUGAACUAUCUCUGGAAAAUAAUCUAUCCAAUGGAUUUUUAGCCCAUGUUUCCUUUGAGGAAAUUGCCUUCAAGCUGCCUUUCAAAUGUAUGUUACGUGCAGUAUUACUUGUGCUUUGUCCAAAUGUGUGCUGGCUAUGGACGCUCUGGGUGCUCUUGGAUGUAACUGCGGUUUUAAAUACCCUCUGCUGGUUAUUCAUAGCGCCCAUGUAGUCAUUUAACAAACACGGUGUUACUUCUGCUCUCUAAGUGGAUGAGUAACGCUCUUAUAAAUAGGAGGAAUGCGAUCUGAAAGGUCACGUGAAUGUUCCCCAUGUGAACGUAUCCCUAAACUAUGAGAUUUCUCAUUCCAGGAGCAUGCUUGCAAAAAAGAAAGUGUUCAUUACUUGGAAAAAGAAAAAGGGUUAAAAACCCAUUCAAUCAAUUUCUCUGCUUGAACUUGGACAGAUUUUUGCAGUGUUUGCUUUUGUCUGCAAUCUCCCUUGACCUGUUUGGGAACAGCCCUGAUCUCAUUCUCAUGCCAGCACCCUCCCUUGGAACAUAAGAGGACAUAUCCUCAAGUAGAUGUAAGGAACUUCCUCUAAGUUAAGUUUCUUCCUAACCUCUUGCAUAUCCUGAUGGAAAGCAAGUGCACUCCUAAUACUGGAUUCCAAAGCACGUGAAAAGAGUGCAGGUUUCUGCACAGCUUUCCUCAGCUCGGUACCAUCAAGAGAAGGUGCCGUGCUGCCCAGACUGCUGGAGUGAAAUGGGGGUGCUGCUUCCAAGGUCCCACAGGGUACAGCAGGGUGCACUGUUAACGCAGACAGAAUGCAGCAGGUAGCUCUGCAGGCACUCUUGUCUUUCCAUUCUGAUCAAAUGAAAACAAAGUAAGUGAGCGUUGCUGCUCUCCUGCUUCUGAAAGGUAAGAGGAAGGGUGGAUCUGGGCCUCAAGAAGCACCACACCAUUUGCCCCCAUCUACUGCUCAGAUUAUUCUGGGAGCCUCUAGAGGGUUGAACUGACCCUCAGGCAGGUGGGCUGUGCUGAUGGAGCACAGCAGAGCGAGCUGCCCUCAGGCAGGCACAGCACCCAGCUGGGAGGUGGCAAUCUGGAUCAGCACUUCUCCCUUCCACCUCUGCAGCAGCAGGUGUGCUGGUCUGAGCAGCUGGUGGCUGGGGUUGGCCUGUGGGACUAUGCACUGGAACAAAGUGGAGUACAGGGUUUGUGCAGCUGGCUCAGGGACGCGUCCUGAUUUCAUCAAAACAAAGGCAGGGCAGUUCAUUUGCUGGCUGAAGUCCGAGGUGGCCUGUGGGUAUAAUGGCUGUUAGUGCUAAUAAAGCGAGCAGGAACUGGAGCUGCCCUCUGCCUAAGGAGAGUGGCUGUGGUGGUACAGAUAAACCCCCUUUGCCCUCCACAUCCAUGUAGCCACAUGCAAACCUGUUGGGAGCAGUCCCUGAGUCCCUCCUGAGGCGUGCUUUUCCAACAGGGUGGGAGAGCGCUGGCAGCCCUGUGCAAGGCUGUGUCCUGGGCUGAGCUGAGGGUUGGACUUGCGGAGGGCUGAGCUCCUCCUCCUGUGCCCUGGUUCACUACUUUGAUUUUCUGCUCUAGAUGCUGCCGGUCCGUCUGUGUUAGGCAAGUUACCUGAAGUGGGAUAUGAUAAAAGAGUCUCUCUUCCAGCUUCAUUUCUAGCCAUCAUCCCUCUGUUCCCUCUCUGACAGGAGGGUGGUAAGAGAGCCUCCUUAUGCAUGGAGCAGAGAGGGACCACCAGAAGAGGAGGCUCUGGGAAAGUGGAAGGAUUUUCUUCUAGUUUUUCUUGGGGAAAAAGUGGAAGAUUGACAGACUGAGGUGAAGAUUUUCCAGUACCAAUUCUGGAUGGAAAAACAUCCUCUCUGGGAGCUGCAGAGUGCCACAUCAGGGGUCCAGAUGCCCGGUGUAAAAUCAACAGAAGAGAUUUAUGCAAGCUGAGAGCAUGCAGGAGGACUCAGCGUUGCGGGCCCUGUUCAUUUCAUGAUGCACAGAGCUUCCUUCUCUGCUGCUCUGCAGGCAAGUGAUCUCUCCUCUACUUGGCUGAUAGGGGCCCAGGUGAAUUCUGGAAUAUUCCAACCUGGAAAGGACUUUGAGUCCAAGCCCUGGCUCCACACAGGACCAUCCAAAAUCAAACUGUGUGUCUGAGAGCAUUGUCAAAAUAGUUAAUGAACUCCAAAGGACUGGGGCCAUGACCACUGCUGUGGAGAGCCUGUUCCACUGCCUGACCACACACUGGUGAAGAACCUCUUCUUAAUACUCUUCUUGAACUUCACAUGGUUGAUGAUUAUCCAGCCCUUUAAUUUGCUGAAAUUUCUCUGCAAGACCUCUCUGCAAUCAGGGGAGUCUACAGCAGUGCAUUCCAGACUUCAAGAUGCAUAUGGACGAUGCUUUCAGAAAAAUGGUUUGCAUUUUGGGUAGUCCUAUGUAGAGCCAAGAGUUGGACUCCAUGAUCCUUAUGGGGUUGUUCCAACUCAGGAUAUUGUAUGAUUCUGUGAUUCUAUUCUAAUUUAGUAUCAUCUGCAAGCCUACUUAAUAUGGAUUUGAGUUCUGUGUCCAGACCAUUUAUAAAAGCACUGAAGAGAACUGACUAAAAUGGAGCCCAGUAGAACCCUGUUAAUGACUGGCCACCAGCUUGACGUAUUUGCUGUAACACUUUGAGCCCGACCCAUGAGCCAAAUGUACACCUGUUGCAUUAUGUCUAGCUGGAUGCUGGACAUUUUGUCAAGAGGGAUAUGGUGAAAAAAAGUAUUAAAAUCAUUGUUGAAAUCUAAAAAGAUUACAUCAGCUGGCUUCCCUUGAUCAACAAGGUGGGUCACCUUGGCAUAAAAGGAAAUUAAGUUUGUUAAACAGGACUUUCUCCUCAGGAACCUGAGUUGGUUAUGAUCAACAGCUGCAUUGCCUUUCAAGUGUUUUUCACUAACUUCCAGAAUAAUCUUCUGCAUAAUUUUACCAGGCACUGAAGAGAGACUGACAGGCUUGUAAUUACCAGCAUCUUCUUGCUAUACCCUUCUUGAAAACUGGGACAACAUUUGCCAGCUUCCAGUCAGCUGGGACUCAUGUGGCAUGUGAAUCUCUGUUGCUUCUCCAAGGACACACCAAGAGCCUACGAUAGAAAGAGGAACAAAAGCUCUCUCUCUGGUUCAGUGCUUCAACUGCACAAAUGUAAUUUAUCAAGAUGGUAUUUAGAUAGCCUUAGAUAAAAGAUACAUCAAAGCAUACUUUUGGCUGCUGCUCUCAGAAGUAGCAGUAAAUCUCCCAAGGGAAUGCAAGUAGUCAGAUAUGAUCCAAGUUAUCAAAAUGCUCCAUCUCUUCACUACCCCUCCUCCUCUCACUUUGGUUGAGUUGACAGGGAAGCCCUCUCUUGGGACUUGUGCAUCAUCUAUUACCAUCAGUAGAUUUUAAUUCAGAAAUGUGUGUUCAUUCUUUUCCAGCAAAACGCUAUUUCAACACUAAUUCUGAAGAACUUUAAUUUUGUAAAGGAUCCAAAAAGAAUAAUGUACCAACCAUUAUGUUUAUUUUGGCCACUGUGUCUAAGUGCUGAUAUUAGCAUUUCUGAGAGGAUUCUUUCAUCAGUGAAUAAAGCUUUGUACCUGUGAGUAAGAUCUUGCUCAGAAGGUCCUGAGUGCGUCCUUUCCUCUAUCAACAAAGCUUACAAAUAUCAAGAGAUGGUUUUGCAAGGGAAGGUAGUGCACAUCCAUUAUUCAAGAUAAGAAAAAAGCUACUGAAAAAAUUCCGUGCCUAUUGCCAAAGGUGCAAUGAAAGCAGCACUAAAUUUAAAGAGAAACUCUUUAUUUUUUUUCAUGUGCCAUAUUAGUUUGUUUAUUUAGAGACCUGAAUAUAUAUGUAUUCAAAGUGGCUCUCCUAUUUUCUUUUGGUUUUGAUUUUUAAGCUAAAAUCCUACAAUACAACUUCAAGCACAGUGAUUAGUUCUCACUGUCACAGAAAGACAAGCAGACCUGCAGUACCAGUAACAACGACUGCUGAAAAUAUUUUGCUCUUUCCAGACCACGACCUCUUCUGUGGAUGUCAGCAGAAUAAGCAUACUUUUAUAAAGUACCCUCAGAUCUUGCUUUCCCUCCUGCUGUUUUGUCACACUUCUUGCAAUUUGCCUUAAAUUACUUGCUUUCACACCAUGGUGCAUGGUGCUGUUUAUUUAAAAAAAGCAGUUUGUUUGCCCUGCACAGACCCACCUGGGAUGCCACAAGCAUUGGAAGUGGAUGGAUUUUCCUGCCCUGCCAGCAACUAGCUUUUUUCCCAUCAGUUUGCUACAGGUCUCUCAGUGAUGGAGGAAACAUCCAUUUCUGACAGGAGGCUUUGACCAUUGCCACUGUCCAAAUUCACAUUUGAAAAAAGAUGACAUAUGUCUGGCAUCCAGUUUGCUUACAAGUGCCCCUUUCAUAUGGAAGAUGAUAGGACUAGAGGGAACAGCCUCAAGUUGCAUCACUGGAGGUUCAGGUUGGAUAUUAGGAAAAAUUUCUUCUCCAAAAGAAAGGUGAAGUGCUGGAAUGGGCUGCCCACGGAGGUAAUGGAGUCACCAUCCCUGCACGUGUUCAAGAAUGUGUCAAUGUGGUACAAAGGAACAUGGUUUGGUUGGGAAAUACUGGUUGGACUAGAUGACCUUGGUGGUCUUUUCCAACCGUGGUAAUUCUGUUAUUCUAUAAUACUUUGUGAGCAGUGAGUCUCAGCCAUCAUUUAUAUGGCAGAGGAAGAAAGAAAGUAUGAAUGCAAUGAGAGACCUAGGAUCAUAGAAUCAUAGAAUUAUUAAAGUUGGAAAAGACCUCUAAGGUUAUCUAGUCCAACCAUCCGCCUACUGCCAAUAUUGCCCACUAAACCAGGUCCCUAAACUCACCCUACAUUUACAGCUCACUCUCUUCUACGGAAAGUCCUCUCAGAGGUCUGUAAAUGUGAGGUGUCUCUCAGAGAGUUCUCUGCUGGAGCUUCUUACCACCCCCAUACACUGCUGGGAGGAGGUUUGGUUGAUGCUAAAGGAAAACUCUGUGGGCUAUCUUAGAAUGAGUGAGUGGCUGCUGAAGGGCUAGUAGUGUACACCAGGGAUGUCACUGUGAGCAGCCAAAGAGGAGGCAGCAUCUGCUCUGCCACAGAUAAACACUUCCCUACACCUAACCAGGGUGAUUUCCCUUCAAGCUGAGGUGUGAGGCCAGCUGUCUCUCACAUUAUUGCUUCCACAGUUGAGAUAAGGGUAUUAGGGGCACUGCCACCUAGGCAGGCAAUCUUUAAGUGCAGCUGCAAGUUGCCUGUUCUAAUGACAACAAGCCUGGGUGGUGAGGAAGAGAGGAUAGGUAGCAGCAUUGAUACUGCAUAAUGUAAUGUGAUAGCAGAUAUAAAUGUGACUCAUUCUAGCCAGAGGCUUUAGAAUAGGAAGUUGGAUAAAAGAUAUAAAAGCAAUGGGAUUUUUUUUUUCCUUUUCAGCGAAGGUCACCGCCAGGAAUAGCAAGGGAAAUUAUUAAUGGAGGAAGAAAUAUUCUCCUUCAGAUGAGAAGUAUUGUCUUGUUCUGCAGUUCUGUUCCCAUACAGGGGGUCUGGUAACAAAGCCCAGCAUGCAGGGCUUUCUCCCUGGUGCUGCUGAUGGCACCGCCUGCUCCGUGCUCAUCCUGCAGAGACGUGGGAGGCUGUGACUGAUGUGCUGUGCAGGCAGCACCUCCAAGUGUAGACCACAAUGUGACCUGAAUGCUGUGCAGGAGCGUGGUGCUGCACUUUAAUUCCCUCACCUUGGAGUGGAAAUGGGCUUGCUCUCAGAGCUCCCAUGCGACAGAGGAAAAACCUAUUACAGGAAAGCUACAAAGAGCAGAGACUGUCUCAGACCUGAGGGGAGAGGCCACUGCUCCACCUGGAUGCAUGCCAUGGAGGGACAUCAUGGGCCAGGAAAGGGUUCUUCUCUCUCAGGACCUCCUCCAGCACUUUGGCCUGGAGAUGAAGUACCCACAAGUCAGGAAGGCCUCUUGCUGUGGACAGUGAGGUCUCUAUUUCCAGAAGUUCUGUGAAGAACGCUGUGGUGCACAGGAUCCUGCUCCCUACCAGCAUGGGAGGUUUCCAUGCACCCAGCACCCAGACUUGCCCCCAUAGCCCCACUGCAGGCUCCUUGAGAGACUCUCUUCUUUCUUGCCUCUGCAUCUCCCCAGUGAUCAACCUCAUCUUGCAGUGGUGGCAGACUGACAGGCUGUAAAGUAAGUCCAGCUGGAAAAAAGAUCAUUUCAUUGUCUUCUGUCCAACCUCAUUUUUCAGCACUGAAUGUCCAGUGGUGCACCUGUCUGAAACCUCCAAAUACCUGGAGAUUCCACACAGCAAUGAUAUUUUUUUAAAAUAGUCCACUUAUUGUCCGUGCUACAUUUCUCUGCACCUUUUAGUCAAUAUCCCAGAUGAAAGAAACAAGCAGGAGAUUGAAAACAACUGAAGUCUCCACUCAAAUUUAGAUUCUGCAGAGAGCUCCUUCAUGCAGCUGGAGCUUUUAUGAAGUCUCCACACCAGUGGGUUUGCUCUUCACACGGUGUGUACUCAUCUCUCAUUGCACUGCAAUGAGUGCUGCAGAGCCACUCCUCAGCAGGUCCCUGGGGGUUGUGAUCAGAAUGCAUUGGCUGAGCAGCAUGGUUCUGCGGCUCUCGUCACUCCCAGGCCUUUAUUCCUGCUUGACUCUCAAGUGGAAUUGCCCAUGAGAUAAUUGCAUAUUUCAUACGAAAGGAGUAGUUUUUGUCCUUUCUCCACAUUUCCACGGCCAAGCCUCACUUACUAUCUGUAAAAUUUUGCACCCUCAGAACCUAAGCGCUCAUUUCUGAGGAAGGAUUACUGUUGUCCAGUUUCCACUGGAACACUUCUCUCAGUUGGCUGGCCAACUUCUCACACCUUGGCUUAAUGGAGGUGGAUCUCAAACCCUCUACUGCAAAAACAAAGAGUGAAAAAAUACCCUUAAUUUAGCAUCCAAGCAGCUCCCCAUGGGCAGGAUCCAGGACCUAGGGCAGACAAAGUCAGGGAGAGGUGAACUUGGAAAUGGCAGGUGAGAUCUAUCACUGGUGGUGCAGGAAAGCUAGCAGGAUGCUUGUCUGGCUCUGCAGCCAGAGUCCUGCACACAUUGCUUCCACAGGUGGGUGGUGCACGAGGAGACAUUCUGCUUAGAGGAAGCCUGGUCUUUCCUCACCUUUGACAUUUCUACGCAGUGAAAAAAGCUCUUGGCUGUUUUCCGGAAGCUAGGAUUCAAUGUUGUUUUUUUUUUUCUUCUUUUUCCACACAGACUAAACAUUCAUGUCAUAUCCUGUCCAAGCAGUUGUUUCAAUAGCUGCCCUGACAAUGAAGGCACUUGGGCUUAAGUGGCGAAUUCUCUGUGACCAGAACUGCUCUUAAUGAACGAUUACACUUUUGUAAGGCCAAAAUGGUUGUUAUUCAGCUUUGGCUUUUGACAGAAGCACUGAAAAUGUUUCUGGAUUUAUGUGAAAUGUUGUGCAAUUUCUAUAAUACCAAGGUGGUAUUAAUGUGAAAUGGACACAAUCUGUCCUUUUCACAUUAAUAGACUAAACAGCAAAACAGGAGUGGGAGGAUUAAAGCCUCAGUGGUUUCAUACUCUCUGAAUCCAUUGGAGUUUUACAGCUCUAGCAAGGGGAAUAUUCAGAAGCAGAAGAAAUCAUAGAAUCAUAGAAUGGCUAGGGUUGAAAGGGACCUCAAAGAUCAUCCAGUCUCUAUCCCUUGUCACCGGCAGGGUUGCCAACCACUGCUGCAAGCAUGAGAUCAGGUUGCCCAGGGCACUGUUUAUCAUGGAUGUAUAAGAAGGAUGUAUAAUUUUGGAUGUAUAAGAAUAUGUGUAAGAAAAUGUCUAAGAAUAUACUAAAUCUGAAACCAUAUAUAUAUGAACUCAAAUUGGCUUUUCUUUUAAUUUCUUUCUCUUUGAAGAUGUUGGUCAAAUUUGGAAGGCUCUGGCAGGGGCAGGCAGGACUCUGGAGAAAUAAGUGACCCUUCACUGCGGUGGAGAGGUUCAGUGCUGUCCUUCAAAACGGCUUCAGCCCGUGCUGCAGCAAUGCUGCAUGUGCUUGGGUUGGAGGAGGCUGCAGCUCACUGCAGUCAGAGGAAACGGAGAAAAGCUCAAUCCAGGCUCAAGAUGCAGCACAGUUCAGGCUGCUUUGAAAUAGAAAUUCUUACAGUUGGUUGCUGGAUCCAGGGAGGACGCAGUAAGAUGUCACUGAUUACCUCCUGGAGAAGCCACAGAUGACUGAUGACUGUUAAAUCACUUUUUCAUAGUGAAAAGCACACGGCGGUGGGAUCUGCACCGGAGGCUGUUGCAUCACACGUCGUGGUUUCAGCAGAGCUUUGCAGAAAAAAAAAUGAAAGUAAACUGUGUUAUUUUGAGCCUGAGCAGUGAGUGAGUUCUCAGUAUCUAAAUGAGAGCUUUUAGAGUCAGCUCCAGGUGUUGCAGGAAGUGGUGGAGGUGACUCAGUAAAUGUCACACUUCCCUCCAAGUCAGUUGUGCUGUCCAAAAAUAACACUCCUUGGGCAUCUGGCUGCUCAGCAUGGCCCUGCUGUUUUCGUGGCACUCAAAACAUUCCUGCUUGGCACUUUCCUGGUUUUGCACCACCUUCCCUGUCACAAGUGUUUGCUUUUAUCUUCCUGUCUCUGUUCUUCCCCAUAAAGCCAGAGACAUGGCUAGUUGAGUUUUGCACAUCUCUGAAAACAAACAUUAAUCCCUUUCAUCCUCAUUCCAUAGCUUUGAUGCAUUUUCUUAAAUAUUUAUGCCCCUUGCCUGACCACCGUUUCCUCUCCUGCUUCAGCUCAACACAUUUCUCACUGCAGCUGCCCUGUUGAAGCAUUGCAGAGGGCACUGACCACACACAGGCUUAAGCAGGCAGACAGCAGUACAAUGGAAAAGAGAAACCUUUUGUAUCUGGUGGUGUGGGCUGUCCCAGGACAGCACCAGAUGGAAAGAGGAGAGGAGCCAGGAAUACAGAAAAGCCCCAAAGACUGUGUUAGGUUAGAAGAGAAAGUGUGAGCAUGUCAUCCCAAAUGCUCCCUCCCUCACAACUUAGGAAACAUGAAUGGGCCCACAGCUGGAGAACUGCGUAAGUCAGAGCAUCAGAUUUUGGUGCAUGGGUCAGCUACAGGCUGAAAGUGCCAGAUCAGUGGAGGCGUUGGGAUCUUUGCUGUUCUUUAUGGACAAGUCCCAUAAAUUUCUGCAACUGCUGCUUGGUUUGGAUUUUGUAAAUUGACACUUUUGUUUUCAUCUGGGCCUUACUUGAGAAUGAUUCUUAUGACAGUUGUCUAACCCCUGGGUUAUCUGCUCGUAUGCCUGCAGUAAUGCUUCAGACUAGGUACUACUGGCUUCUUAAAACUAACCCUUAUGCUCUCUUACCCGCAGGCAUCUCAACCGUACAGACGUUAUCUCACAGAAGUGGGUUGAGUGCUGGUCUUGGAGAGGGAUGCCCAAGCUAUGUCACACUUGCUAUUAGAGAUAUGGCCGUACCUCACAUGCUGGUGGUGAAACCACUCUGGAGCCCUGUAACAGAAAUGCUAAGUCAUAGCCUGAAUCAGUGAUUGAGCACCUGGUGGGAAGGCAGGACCAACCCAGGGGAGCUCAGGUGCAUGCAAUGCAUCUGAGUACCCAGAAGGAGUGGAGCCAGGAUCCACCUCUUCCCAGACCUCAUUUAAAAGUUGGCAGGGGAGGAAAGGGUACUUUUCUGGGGGUUCCUGCAUUCCUGAGGCCUUCAAAGGUAGUUCUUGGCUGGAGCUGCCUGGGCUGCAUGUCAGUCCACACAACUGCUGUCUCCUCAAGGAGGAUGGGCUGACUGAGAGAUGAGAUUUCCAAGGCCUCUGUUGUUCUGCAGUACAAGUUUCUACCUUUUCACUGACUUAAAUGAAGGAGCCCUUUGGAGAAUGAUGUUGCCUGGAUCUUAAAUACUCUGAAGCAUUUGAUCAUGAGUUCUGGAUGCGUUCAGGGCCAGAUUUUCUGAUUUACAAGGCUUAUAUUCCUGCUCUUCAAAAUUUGGGAAUGUAGGGGUUUUGGGAGGACUGUAGAGGGGCUUGAUUCAGCUGGCAGUGACACCAAGGUGGCUGAACACAGCAGCACGCCUGCAACAAGGCCUGGCCCUGCAGUCUCCAGCUGGGGUGGGCAGCCUUAGCUGGUGAUGAUUCAGUGCUGCUGAGCUGGGCAGUGUGAUCCCACAGGGAUGUGCAAGGAGCAUUGGGUUGGGGGGGAUGCAGCGGGCAAUGGGCUGAGACUGCUAUCCUGCAGAGCUGGUAGGACUACUGAGGCUGUGGCAGGGACUAGAAGGCUUCUCUGGGGCAUAAGAAGCACCAAAGCACUGCUGGCUGCAUUCCUCUGGGUAAGCAAGCUGUGUGUUGGGCUGGUGGAGCAAAGCUUCAUUCUGUCCCGUGGACCACUGUGAAAUUUUCAAGGCAACGUGGAUUGUGUGGAGAUGCCUGAGUAUGUGGGAUGGCUCUGAGACCUCCCCAGCAGCUGUGUCUGCUGCACUCAUGGCAGGUAUAACACUGCUUUAGCAGAGCUUUGCAUAAUUUCUUGAAGGGAAGGAUUUAGCAAGACAAGAAAAGAGGAAAUGCAAAUGUCUUCCUUUUAUUUUUAUUUUUUGGGUCGGGCAGCCAUAUGCUCGCGGUGCCUCCAUUCACUCCAGCAGCUGCAUAUGGUAGAUGCAGUGACCGGAAGCUGCGGUCCAGCUGUGUGUGUGUAGAUGAUGCAAAGUCUGGAAAAUAACAAACAUGAGCUCUCCAAGCAGGGGCAUGGCCGUUACUGCACGCGCGCUGUAAUUCAGGAACUAACAGAUGUCCCCAAGCUUCGUGCCUGGCCCAAAAGGGACAUAAGAAGGGAACUGGUUCAGGGUUUAUGCACAGCUGCGCGGAUCAGAUGACACUGUCAGCUGAAUCUGCCCCUAGCCAGUCCUCAUUUAUCAGAGCAGGAACCCUGACCUUUAUUUGGGCACAGAAAUACCAUCUUGGAAGGCUCUGCAAAGAGGGAGAGCAAGGGCCAUAAGAAUCCAAGGCAUUUCUGUAAAGAAGAGUCUGGUUACAGACUGAGAUAUGCAGCCCUCCAUAGCUGUAUGCUCCUCACUGGAGUUUGCCAGAAGCAGUCCCAAAGGAUGCUUUCCAGGGGCCAGGCUUGUGGAACAUUUAACAUUUCCACUUACGUUUAUCCGGGGUGACAAGCACUGCUACACACGACGGUCUUGUUCCCAACUCUGCAAGGUGGGGGCUCAGACUUAUGGUAAUAAGAGGCUGUUUAGUGGCCAGCACAAAAUGAGUUGGCAGCUGCCAUCAGGUCCUGUGUCAUGAAACCACUGUACAUUGGCAGCCUCAGUUCAACAGAACAAGCUGGGACAUUUUUCUCAGUCUUAUUUGGAACACAAAACCUGAGCUUGAGCUCUGCUUUCACAUGGCAUGGUGGCUGAACAUAGCUCUGCAGAUCUGCAUGGCCAGGACUUGACCAUAUUUCAAAACACGGCUGAAAAGGGGAAGUGGAGAACCCCUGUGGAUUUCCUUUCCACCUCAUCUUCCCGGGUUGGGCAAAUGAUGCUUGAGACCGUUAUGGCUGCAGCUGAGCUCUGAACAUACAGGCCAGGGCACUGAUGCCAUGAGACAGGGCACUGGGUCUUCUCCCAUUGGCCUCAGUGAGAUAGUGGAGGAAAAAUAGGCUGCAGCCUGGGUUGUACUGUCAGGUCUGACCAUGGGAGAAUGCUUUCUUUAAGCAAAGGUGUUGCUUAGCAUUUACCUAUUCACAAAUACUCUUCUUUCAAAGUCAUGGAAUCAUUACAGAUGGAAAAACCCCUUUAAGAGCAUCUAGUCCAAUCAUCAACCCAUCACCACCAUGCCCACUAAACUGUGCCACAAAUCCAUAGGAUAACUUUCUUUUGCUAUUGUGUAAAGCAGCAGGGACUUUCCAUUUGCAGAAAGAAGGGAGCAUAGGUUGGUGGCUACAGCUCAGAAGUGCAGCUUGGAGAUAAAGCAUCCAUUAACCUGCAGGCACUGCCUUGCAGAGUUCUAAUUAUGAGCAGCUCUUAAUCCCUUGUGUUGUUUUUUUCCUAAAAUGCACUGAUACAGGCUGAGAAUGAAUCCUGAAAGACAAGGCACUCAAGGGGACAUCAGCAGCCUCUCUGCAGAGCAGAGUGGUGCUGUGCAAUGCUUAUCUGAAGAAAUCUGCAAUUCGGAGUACAAGGAGUGCCCUGUUUGCAUCAAGGCCAGGUCUAUGGCAGUGGCCCCAUGGGAACUGUAGUUUCCCUCCCAAACAUGACUUGGUUCAAGACCUUGCUCUUCAACCUUUGCAGCAAUUUGUGUACCCUCAAAUUUCAGAUUCAUAGUUUUAGAAAGCAGCACAAAAAACCCCUCAGAAGAGCAGGUAGAGUGCCACCCAGCUGCAUGGAUGGUUGCAAGGAAAUUGGUAGACCGGGAAAUGGACAAGGAGAAGGUGCCAAGGUUAGAGACCAUAUAAUUUAUUUAUCACAGGACUUGUUCUUCCACUUACACACAUUUCCUUCUGCAUGGUAUCCUACUGUCUAUCUCUGUGGGGUUGUGGGGAAUGGCCACACAUCUCGGUUUCCUCAGACGUCCUCUUUUCCCUCGCUUGUCCUGGAGAUCCUAAAAUGCAGUGGUGCCUGCACUGUUGUUUCGUUAAUGCAGCUGGUUCUUAAUGGCCCAACGAUAUUUACUUAGGUCCUGUGGCCCCACAGGGGAAAAAAUGGCUCUUUUAGCACAAGAAGCCUGAUGGAAAGGGUGGUUUAUGAGAGGAACAAAGUUUUGGGAAGAGAGGAAAAGUCAAAUGAGUGCAAACACCAAAGCUAUUCCCUUGCUUGAAAGGAAUACUAAGAAAACUUGCUCAGUGGGUCAUGAUGAGCUCAUUCAGUCCGUUAGAUUACUGGAAAAAUCUUCCACUUUGAAAAGUAUGCAUGUGUCUGUGUUGAGUCAGAAUCUGGCAGAGCCGCUUUAGUACACAUUUUUGUUGUGAAAAAGUCCCUUUUGUCUUUUGUGAACCUGAAAAACUUCUGGCCUGAGUAGGCUUUAUGUUUCAAAGUUUUUUUGCACAGAAAAUGUAGGUGCUGCACUGUUGCAUUUUGUAGGCAGUGUGGUAUCUCUGGGCCUAAGGUGGGUCGGUUUUCUUACUUGCAAUACUUUUCUCCAGUGUUGCGCAUCCCUUUAUUGCUGUCCAGGCAGCUUUUAUGCAGUGUACAAAUAGCGGUGCAUGAAAACAUUGCAGGCACACCCCUGCACAUGCUCACAUGCAGUUCAUGUUUCUAAAAGUUUGCUGCAAGCGUAACAAUUUUUUUCUGCUAAACUUCUUGGCAUACUUUCAGUGCAAAGCUGGCAGCUUUCGUACAAUGAAUGCAGCCUGAAGUGUGGGGGCUCAGAGAAAAUAAGGAGAUCUGUGACACUGAGAAAACACAGUCACAGACACCACAGCACUACUCUGGGAUGAGCACAGUAGCUGCAGGGGAGGGGUCAUGGUCAAAUAUGCUAUUUCAAGCAAAAUCUGAGAGGAGGAUGUGUGCUUGGCCACAGGAAGAGCGUUGUCUUAGUCAGAGCAGUUAAUCAUGCAACAUGAAGAGAAGUACGUAUAGCAAGAUUUCUGUUUCCAGCAGUUUUACCUCCUCUGAGAUGACUUGCGUGUAUUUUUGCCUUGCUAUUUGCAGUAUGGCAGCAUCUGCUCCCGGCCUUAAUGAAAAGCUGGCAGCUCCAGGCGGUGUGAGCCACGCUGCCGUCACCAAGCUAACCUCCCCAUGCCUCUUGCAGGCAGACAGAGACAAGGAGAGAAUAAAAAUGUCCGGUGACGUCAAUGAAGACCACACUCUGCUGGAUAAUAUUACUGUGUGCCUCAACCGCCCACUCCCUUUAAUUUACUAGAAGCUAAGCAAGCUGUUUUGAAACCCAUAGCUUCCAGCGUGUUUACGCUGCUCUCCCUCAACCAAAGGCUACUAAUUGUCAGGAGCUUGAAAGCUACCUGAUGCCUCGUUCAAAGCACUGAAGCAGAGGGGAUUUCCAUGAGUAAUAAUUUCAGUCUGUGCCUGCGUAGCACACUGUAGGCUAGAGUAAAUUGAUCCAGCUGCUUGCAAGGCUGGAUGGAAAAGUGCCCAGGGGGGCCAGAGCACAGCACCAGAUGGAGCUAGAUGUCAUCACGUGGGGCUCCCAGCUGCUGGGCAUGCUCCAGCCUGGCUCCCAGCAGCAGCUCGGCAGGCUGGGCUGCACCGCUCACAGCGUGUGGUUGGGUCGCCAGUGUGUGUUGCAACAUCUUCUCUUGUGAUGAAGAGGACGAUUUUGGAUUAGCCAGAACUGUUGUCGUCUUUUGCUCAGCUGCAGUCUUCUCUGUGACAACGACUAAAAAAGCUUGCGAGAGGCCGGCUGCCUCCACAAAUAACCAGAACUGGCAGGAUUAACCUGUAACCCGGGGCAGUGUAUACACACAUCCCACCAGCCAGAUGGCAGAGUUCAAAGAUCCGCUCACUUCCUGGCCGAGGUUGCACAAGUUAAUUUUUAUCCUUGUUAAAAAGAAGUAAGAAAAUAUAGCAAUAAAAUGUUUGCUGCUUGCUAUCUCUGGUUUUAA